AUGGCGGCCGAGAGUGGUAGUGAUUCGCAGCAGAAAAGGAGAAGGCGCCGGGACCCAGAGGAAGCAGGGAAAACGGAACUCGGCGAGCGAGAACUAGCAGUGGCGGGGAGCGAAGAAAAUGAUGAUGAGAAUGAAGAGCGCUGGGUUGGGCCUUUACCGGUGGAGGCAACACUGGCCAAGAAGAGGAAAGUUUUAGAGUUCGAAAGAGUCUACCUUGAUAAUCUCCCCAGUGCAUCCAUGUAUGAGCGCAGUUACAUGCACAGAGAUGUUAUCACACAUGUGGUGUGCACCAAGACAGAUUUUAUUAUCACUGCCAGUCAUGAUGGCCAUGUUAAAUUUUGGAAAAAAAUAGAAGAAGGAAUUGAAUUUGUUAAACAUUUUCGUAGUCACCUUGGAAUUAUUGAGAGUAUUGCAGUUAGCUCUGAGGGAGCAUUGUUCUGUUCUGUGGGUGAUGAUAAAGCAAUGAAGGUGUUUGAUGUAGUGAACUUUGACAUGAUCAAUAUGCUGAAGCUUGGCUAUUCUCCUGGACAAUGUGAGUGGAUCUAUUGCCCAGGAGAUGCCAUCUCUUCAGUUGCUGCUUCCGAGAAGAGUACAGGAAAAAUUUUCAUUUAUGAUGGUCGAGGAGAUAACCAACCACUUCAUAUUUUUGACAAACUGCAUGUGUCACCUCUCACUCAAAUCAGACUAAACCCAGUUUACAGAGCAGUGGUGUCUUCUGACAAAUCUGGAAUGAUUGAGUACUGGACUGGACCUCCACAUGAAUAUAAAUUUCCUAAAAAUGUGAACUGGGAGUAUAAAACAGACACAGAUUUAUAUGAAUUUGCCAAGUGUAAGGCGUAUCCAACCAGCAUAUGCUUUUCACCUGAUGGGAAGAAAAUAGCAACCAUUGGAUCAGACAGAAAAGUUAGAAUUUUCAGAUUUUUAACCGGAAAACUCAUGAGGGUCUUUGAUGAGUCAUUAAGUAUGUUUACUGAACUGCAGCAGAUGAGGCAACAACUACCAGACAUGGAAUUUGGCCGACGAAUGGCCGUGGAACGUGAACUGGAGAAGGUGGAUGCUGUGAGAUUAAUUAAUAUCGUUUUUGAUGAAACUGGACACUUUGUGCUGUAUGGAACAAUGCUGGGCAUUAAAGUAAUAAACGUAGAAACAAAUCGGUGUGUGCGGAUCUUAGGCAAGCAAGAAAAUAUUAGAGUGAUGCAACUGGCUUUGUUUCAGGGAAUAGCCAAAAAGCAUCGAGCUGCAACUACAAUAGAGAUGAAAGCUUCUGAAAACCCUGUUCUUCAGAAUAUUCAAGCUGACCCAACAAUAGUCUGCACAUCUUUCAAAAAGAAUCGGUUUUAUAUGUUUACCAAACGAGAACCAGAAGAUACAAAAAGUGCAGAUUCUGACCGUGAUGUUUUUAAUGAGAAACCUUCUAAAGAAGAAGUCAUGGCAGCUACUCAAGCUGAAGGGCCAAAAAGAGUGUCAGAUAGUGCCAUUGUCCAUACAAGCAUGGGAGACAUUCACAUCAAACUUUUUCCUGUUGAGUGUCCCAAGACAGUGGAGAACUUCUGUGUUCACAGUAGAAAUGGUUAUUACAAUGGGCAUACAUUUCACCGUAUAAUUAAGGGCUUCAUGAUUCAGACAGGAGAUCCAACAGGUACUGGUAUGGGAGGAGAAAGCAUAUGGGGAGGAGAAUUUGAAGAUGAAUUUCACUCAACAUUACGACAUGACAGACCAUACACACUCAGCAUGGCUAAUGCUGGAUCAAAUACGAACGGAUCCCAGUUUUUCAUAACAGUGGUACCAACGCCUUGGCUUGAUAAUAAGCACACCGUGUUUGGUCGAGUGACCAAAGGAAUGGAGGUUGUACAGAGGAUUUCCAAUGUUAAAGUCAAUCCCAAGACAGAUAAGCCUUAUGAGGACGUCAGCAUCAUAAAUAUCACCGUCAAGUAAACCGUUUUGUUACAUUCACAAGUAAAGGGGACUUAGAAUACAAGACUGUUUCACAUUUGGAAGUUUAAUACUUGCUGAACAUGCAAAUCAUGUUUUAAAAGAUACAAAACUGUAUUUUUGUAUUUUUAGUUAAAGGCCAUUUUUUAAAACUGCCUUGAUUUUUUUUUUUUUUUUUUAAUAUUUCUGAUCCUGAGGGAUGACAAAUUGAAAUGCACUAAAUUAAGGCAAAUAGCAUUCCUUAUAGGAACUUAUGUGUCCUAGGCUAGCCUCUGUGUAGCUGAUGAUCUCGAGUCCUAGGAUCACAGGUACAUACCAUGAUGCCCAGCUUAUGCAGUUCUCUUAAAGCUUGAACUCAGAGCCUUGUGCGUAUGCAGGUACUCUACCACCUGACUUACAUCCCAGCCCUUAAAUUACUGAUACGUGAUCAGUUAUUGUUUUCUCCUGUAUUCUUUUUUGGAGGCAUACAGAUGUGCAUCAGUCUUCCCAGUUAUCAUUUUGUAAAAUGAGAACUUUUCUAAUGUUAUUAAAUGUUAUUAAAAAAUAAAUAACAUUUAAUAAAUGUUAUUAAAAAAUAAAUAUUUUUUAAUAUUGAGACAAGUUUUUCAAGCCCACCCCAACUCCCUUUCCUCGUGGUGAUGGCGAUAGAAUGUAGGGAGGGGCUUGUUAAGCAAGUUCUCUACCAAUGAGCCACAUCUCCAGCCCAUCAAACCACUGUAAUUAUAAUGACAGUAAUGGACCAUGUAAGUGAUCAUUUUAAAUGUUCUUUAUUCUCCUGUGAAGCAAGCUUAAAUUUAAAUCAACCUUUGAAAAUCUCAAAAUUUUUCACUUUUGUUUAUUGCUACAAUUUAGAUCUUUCAGUAUCUCCUACCUUUUGUUUAAAUGUGAUUUAUAUAGAGAAUAGCCUAUUUCUAAACCUCUGCAAUAUCAAAUAAACUCUAUCUGAAAUGUGAUAGGCAAGUCAUUCUCCACUCUUUCAGUUUCUUUUAAAAAUAGCACAAAUAAUGAAGUUUUUCUUUCUUUCUUUUUUUUUUUUCCCUGUGCUAGGGAUCAAACCGAGGUCUUCAAACAUGCUAGACAGUAGAAACAGUGUUUCUACUGUUGAGCUGUGUUGAGUUCUAAUAAUGACUUAAGUUAUUAACUAGCCUAAUGCUAGGUACACAAUUUAUUAAGCAGCUUUUAAACUAACAGAAUUCCUUUUAACUUAAACAUUUUAUUGUUUCCUAUACUGAUCAUAUAUGUAAGGGCAAAUAAUGGCUUCUGGUCACUAUAAACCAUUUCUGAAUUACAGACCAGGGCCAUACACUUGACAUAUCUGCUUUAUAUAAUUCACACAGUUAUGUAGAAAUUCAGAGAUAUAAGGCAAAUCCUAAUAUAUUGUACUUAAAACAUCUGUUGAUUCUCAAUCCUUGACAUUUCCCAGAAGAAACUAAUACAGUCUUAACAAAUGACUAAUCAAAGG